rnacentral:rRNA from 1 species
GAUGAACGCUGGCGGCGUGCCUAAUACAUGCAAGUCGAGCGAACGGACGAGAAGCUUGCUUCUCUGAUGUUAGCGGCGGACGGGUGGGUAACACGUGGAUAACCUACCUAUAAGACUGGGAUAACUUCGGGAAACCGGAGCUAAUACCGGAUAAUAUUUUGAACCGCAUGGUUCAAAAGCGAAAGACGGUCUUGCUGUCACUUAUAGAUGGAUCCGCGCUGCAUUAGCUAGUUGGUAAGGUAACGGCUUACCAAGGCAACGAUGCAUAGCCGACCUGAGAGGGUGAUCGGCCACACUGGAACUGAGACACGGUCCAGACUCCUACGGGAGGCAGCAGUAGGGAAUCUUCCGCAAUGGGCGAAAGCCUGACGGAGCAACGCCGCGUGAGUGAUGAAGGUCUUCGGAUCGUAAAACUCUGUUAUUAGGGAAGAACAUAUGUGUAAGUAACUGUGCACAUCUUGACGGUACCUAAUCAGAAAGCCACGGCUAACUACGUG